rnacentral:lncRNA from 1 species
UGAGUAAUGGGAUAGGGCAAAAAGCAUACCGAUUGCCUAUAAUGACGAGAGUGCCACCAUCAAGCUCCUUGUAAAAGGAGAAGCGGACCCCGAGAAACAUUAAGAAACUAUAAAAGAGCGGGAAUGGGCGAGGUAGAGGGGCAAAUGAAGCUGGGCGACAGAGCUCUACUGACCACUGGGAAAAAACAAGUAAUGAAAAUAGUACUGGCUAGUAAAACAGAGAGGCAUAGGUACCUUACUUAUGAGCACUUACACUUCAAUGCCCAAGCGCAUGCUGAGCUAAUGUGUACAAUAAGAAAG